rnacentral:rRNA from 1 species
GACGAACGCUGGCGGCGUGCUUAACACAUGCAAGUCGAACGAAGUGGCGAACGGGUGAGUAACGCGUAAUCAACCUGCCCUUCAGAGGGGGACAACAGUUGGAAACGACUGCUAAUACCGCAUACUGAAGGUGGGGUUUGCGUCUGGUUAGCUAGUUGGCGGGGUAACGGCCCACCAAGGCGAUGAUCAGUAGGCGGUCUGGGAGGAUGAACGGCCACAGUGGGACUGAGACACGGCCCAGAGUCCUACGGGAGGCAGCAGGGGGGAAUCGUCCGCAAUGGACGGAAGGCUGGCGGAGCAACGCCGCGGGAGUGAUGACGGGCUUCGGGGUGUAAAGCUCUGUUAAUCGGGACGCGGUACCGGAAGAGAAAGCCACGGCUAACUACGUGCCAGCAGCCGCGGUAAUAC